GUUUGAACAUUUAUUCGCCUCCUGAGCUUGUACAGCAGUCGUGGGAGUUGCUGCAGAAGCAAGCGAAAAGCCAGAUGAGCGCUUCUAAACUUAGAGAGAGGGAGAGCGCCUCAUCUCUUCCAUUUUCCAGGUAUUCCUGAGAUGAUUUAUUGGAGCUCAAAGCUUUGGGAGGGUUGGGGCCUUCCAUUCCCUCCAGUAAAUACUUGUUUUUCUUCCACCGCUGAGGCAAAUGCGGGGUGGCCGAUCACCUGGCAGACAUCUUAGGAAACAGGAGCACCGGUCUGGGAAACUGCUGGCCUGGCCUAACACCUGGCGCUGUGGUGCAGGAAAAUCAGUCUGCGCUGAACAGGAUGGAAUUGGGGCAGGACGUCCAGUGAGGAGGACAUUGAGGCAGUAGAGCAGUUGAUUGCCGAAUGACCACCUACCCUGACUUAAAAGAUCAACCUCAGGGUGGAUUGGAGCUUUCUAGAGUCUCUUGGGACAGCAGAAGCACAGGCCGGGUUGGACUGAAUCUUUAAGUGGACAUGAGGGACAAAGUACCUCCUGUUGGUAAACAUCUCACCACCAACCCACUGUGGUGGCUAAAAUCCCACCUUUAGUCCCAGCAACAUGUGAGCAUGUCACCAGGAGGUCUUCACAGGCCUGUCUGCCACCUGAGUGUAGACAUCUUUUGGCCCUGGAGCCCAGAGAGGCUGAAUGUGGAGAGGGUGGAGAGAGGUCUGUAGUCCUCAGAGAAGACUUGCAGCUUUUUCAGAGCCACCAACCCAUAAAAAAAAAAAUCCCCAAACAGGAAAACCCUAACUGUGGUGACCAGGUACCUCCUGAGACAUGAAGCCUCCACUUACCUGGACCCUGGAGGCCUCUCCGGGCACAGCUGCCAAUGUUGAUCUUAGAUAAGACCACCAGCAAGUAAACAUCCAC
rnacentral:antisense_RNA from 1 species